UAACUGAGGGCGAUCUGGCUGCGACAUCUGUCACCCCAUUGAUUGCCAGGGUUGAUUUGGCUGAUGUGGCUGGCUAGGUGGGUGUCCCCUUCCUCCCUCACUGCUCCAUGUGUGUCCCUCCCGAAGCUGCGUGCUCGGUCGAAGAGGACGACCAUCCCCGAUAGAGGAGGACCAUUCUUCGGUCAAGGGUAUACGAGUAGCUGCGCUCACCUGCUAGAACCUCCAAACAAGUUCUCAUUAGUUUUUUUAUAUAAAAGCGUCUUACAUCUCACCUUGGGCUCCAGUGAGAUUUAGAGCAUUGCAUUUGACAUCAUGAUACUAUUU
ensembl:misc_RNA 7SK 7SK RNA